CUACGGGGUGCUCCAGUGGGGAAUAUUGCACAAUGGAGGAAACUCUGAUGCAGCAACGCCGCGUGGAGGAUGACACUUUUCGGAGCGUAAACUCCUUUUAUAUAGGAAGAAGAUGACGGUACUAUAUGAAUAAGCGCCGGCUAACUCCGUGCCAGCAGCCGCGGUAAUACGGAGGGCGCAAGCGUUACUCGGAAUCACUGGGCGUAAAGAGCGUGUAGGCGGAUUAAAAAGUCAGAAGUGAAAUCCUAUAGCUUAACUAUAGAACUGCUUCUGAAACUCUUAAUCUAGAAUAUGGGAGAGGUAGAUGGAAUUUCUGGUGUAGGGGUAAAAUCCGUAGAGAUCAGAAGGAAUACCGAUUGCGAAGGCGAUCUACUAGAACAUUAUUGACGCUGAGACGCGAAAGCGUGGGGAGCAAACAGGAUUAGACACCCCGGUAGUC
rnacentral:rRNA from 1 species